GAUGAACGCCGGCGGUGUGCCUAAUACAUGCAAGUCGUACGCACUGGCCCAACUGAUUGAUGGUGCUUGCACCUGAUUGACGAUGGAUCACCAGUGAGUGGCGGACGGGUGAGUAACACGUAGGUAACCUGCCCCGGAGCGGGGGAUAACAUUUGGAAACAGUGCUAAUACCGCAUAACAACAAAGACCACAUGGCUUUGUUUGUAAAGAAUGGCUUUGGUCGUAUCACUCUGGGAUGGACCUGCGGUGCAUUAGCUAGUUGGUAAGGUAACGGCUUACCAAGGCGAUGAUGCAUAGCCGAGUUGAGAGACUGAUCGGCCACAAUGGAACUGAGACACGGUCCAUACUCCUACGGGGAGGCAGCAGUAGGGAAUCUUCCACAAUGGGCGCAAGCCUGAUGGGAGC
rnacentral:rRNA from 1 species